UACGUAGGGUGCGAGCGUUGCCCGGAUUUAUUGGGCGUAAAGGGCGCGUAGGCGGCCACGCACGUCCGUUGUGAAAUCGCCCGGCUCAACUGGGCGGGGUCGGCGGAUACGGCGUGGCUGGAGCAAGCUAGGGGGCAAUGGAAUUCCCGGUGUAGUGGUGGAAUGCGUAGAUAUCAGGAGGAACACCGGUGGCGAAGGCGGGUCUCUGGGCCGUUACUGACGCUGAGGAGCGAAAGCGUGGGGAGCGAACAGG
rnacentral:rRNA from 1 species